rnacentral:rRNA from 1 species
AUUGAACGCUGGCUGCAUGCCUAACACAUGCAAGUCGAACGAGUGGCGGACGGGUGAGUAAUGUCUGGGAAACUGCCCGUUGGUGGGGGCUAACCACUCGAAACGGUCGCUAAUACCGCAUACUAUUGGAUGUGCCCAUAUGGGAUUAGCUAGUUGGUGGGGUAACGGCUAACCUAGGCGACGAUCACUAGCUGGUCUGAUAGGAUGACGAGCAACACGGGAACUGAGACACGGGCCAGACUCUGACGGGAGGAAGCAGUGGGGAAUAUUGGACAAUGGGCGAAAGCCUGAUGCAGCCAUGCCGCGUGGAUGAAGAAGGCCUUCGGGUUGUAAAGUACUUUCAUCGGGGAGGGGUUACUCGCAGAAGAAGCACCGGCUAACUACGUGCCAGCAGCCGCGGUAAUAC